CCAAUAGCGUAUAUUAAAGUUGUUGCAGUUAAAAAGCUCGUAGUUGAAUUUCGGGAUCAAUAUGUCGGUCGUGCCUUCGGUACGUACUGGUAUCAUUGGUUUCUCCUUUCUGACGAACCAUGAUGUCAUUAAUUUGGUGUUAUGGGGAGUUAGGACUGUUACUUUGAAAAAAUUAGAGUGUUUAAAGCAGGCUUUAGCUUGAAUACAUUAGCAUGGAAUAAUGAAAUAGGACGUUCGAACCUAUUUUGUUGGUUUCUGGGAUCAACGUAAUNANNNNNNNNGAUAGUUGGGGGCAUUAGUAUUCAAUUGUCAGAGGUGAAAUUCUUGGAUUUAUUGAAGACUAACUACUGCGAAAGCAUUUGCCAAGGAUGUUUUCAUUAAUCAAGAACGAAAGUUAGGGGAUCGAAGACGAUCAGAUACCGUCGUAGUCUUAACCAUAAACUAUGCCGACUAGGGAUCGGAUGAUGUUAAUUUUUUAAUGACUCAUUCGGCGCCUUACG
rnacentral:rRNA from 1 species